rnacentral:rRNA from 1 species
GUUGUGCUGAAGCUGGACCUGCACGACGACAGGCAGAAGCAGAAGGCGCUCAAGGUCGUCUCCACUCUCCACGGCAUCGACCACAUCGCCGUGGACAUGAAGGACCAGAAGAUGACGGUGGUGGGCACCGUCGACCCCGUCGACCUCGUCGGAAGGCUGCGCAGCAAGCUCUUCCCCACGGCGCAGAUGCUCUCCGUCGGCCCGGCCAAGGAGGAGAAGAAGGACGGCGGCGCCAAGAAGGAAGCUGAUACCAAGAAGGAGGGCGAGAAGAAGGACGCGGUCCCGGUGUACAUGCCGUGGUACCCGCCGCCGCCGCCGCAGUACCACCCGCACCCGUACUACCACAACCACAGCGCCGAGGAGGACCCCAGCUCCUGCGUCAUCUGCUGA